UCGAGCUGAUAAAGAGACUCACCAGGAUCAAAAGGUAAGAGGAUCUCAGAACAGAUUCAAAUCGGGGGAAAUAAGAGAAGAAGAGCUUGAGAUUUUUCUGUUCGUGCGUAGAUAGAUAGAUAGAUUAUAAACAAAAAAAAGGAAUUGAAAGAUGAAAACAAACAAAAAAAAAAAGAGAAAGAAGAAUAUAAACGAGAAAGAAACGCAACCACCAACUACAAACCCGUUCUUUCUUCUUCUUCGUCUUUCUACUUUUGUGUGUCUAGAGAGAGAAGAGAGAGAUAGAAACAGUAAUGGAGAUGGGUCACACUCUCUCUCAAAAAAAAAACAAUUAUACAAUACAACCAAAUAUGUUAUCAGAUUUUUUUCUUUCUCAUGAAUCAUUAUUUUAUUUUUAUUAAUAAUUUAAUAUAAACGGUUUUUAUGAAUAUUGUUUUCUUUUUUGUUUCAGGCUGGCAGAAUUAACAUGGGCUUGGAUAAGACGUUUCUUACACUUAUAUAAUUUUCCGACAUCCACUAGAAUAUAAUAAGAAGAAUUAUUAAAUUGUGAAAAUAAAAAAUCCAAUAACAGAUCAUUUAUUUUAGAUCAUCAAAUCAUAUUCAGGUCACACACAAUUAGUCAAUCAUCCCACUCUUUAUCAGAUUUAAUCUAUGAUUUUAAUUAUGCUAUUGAUAUAAAAAGAAUAACU
rnacentral:lncRNA from 1 species